GCAGCCGCGGUAAUACGUAGGGUGCAAGCGUUAAUCGGAAUUACUGGGCGUAAAGCGUGCGCAGGCGGUUGUGUAAGACAGAUGUGAAAUCCCCGGGCUCAACCUGGGAACUGCAUUUGUGACUGCACAGCUAGAGUACGGUAGAGGGGGAUGGAAUUCCGCGUGUAGCAGUGAAAUGCGUAGAUAUGCGGAGGAACACCGAUGGCGAAGGCAAUCCCCUGGACCUGUACUGACGCUCAUGCACGAAAGCGUGGGGAGCAAACAGGAUUAGAUACCCUGGUAGUCCACGCCCUAAACGAUGUCAA
rnacentral:rRNA from 1 species